rnacentral:sRNA from 1 species
ACGCCAGGCUAAUUUUUUUUUUUUUUGUAUUUUUAGUAGAGACGGAGUUUCACGUGUUAGCCAGGAUAGUCUCCAUCUUCUGACCUCGUGAUCUGCCCGCCUCGGCCUCCCAAAGUGCUGGGAUUAUAGGCUGGAGCCACCGCGCCCAGCCGAAGACUGAAUUUUUGAGCAAAUGAAAGACACCAACAAAAUCCAACACAUAAAGAUUCACACUUGAAACAGAUUAAUCAGGAAUCAAGUUUCUUACUGGGAAAUGCCCAGAUUGUGGAUUGGCCUGUAGUUUAUAGUAAUGACGGUUUUUGUAAACUCUCCGGAUAUCAUCGAGCUGACGUCAUGCAGAAAAGCAGCACUUGCAGUUUUAUGUAUGGGGAAUUGACUGACAAGAAGACUAUUGAGAAAGUCAGGCAAACUUUUGACAACUACGAAUCAAACUGCUUUGAAGUUCUUCUGUACAAGAAAAACAGAACCCCUGUUUGGUUUUAUAUGCAAAUUGCACCAAUAAGAAAUGAACAUGAAAAGGUGGUCUUGUUCCUGUGUACUUUCAAGGAUAUUACGUUGUUCAAACAGCCAAUAGAGGAUGAUUCAACAAAAGGUUGGACGAAAUUUGCCCGAUUGACACGGGCUUUGACAAAUAGCCGAAGUGUUUUGCAGCAGCUCACGCCAAUGAAUAAAACAGAGGUGGUCCACAAACAUUCAAGACUAGCUGAAGUUCUUCAGCUGGGAUCAGAUAUCCUUCCUCAGUAUAAACAAGAAGCGCCAAAGACGCCACCACACAUUAUUUUACAUUAUUGUGCUUUUAAAACUACUUGGGAUUGGGUGAUUUUAAUUCUUACCUUCUACACCGCCAUUAUGGUUCCUUAUAAUGUUUCCUUCAAAACAAAGCAGAACAACAUAGCCUGGCUGGUACUGGAUAGUGUGGUGGACGUUAUUUUUCUGGUUGACAUCGUUUUAAAUUUUCACACGACUUUCGUGGGGCCUGGUGGAGAGGUCAUUUCUGACCCUAAGCUCAUAAGGAUGAACUAUCUGAAAACUUGGUUUGUGAUUGAUCUGCUGUCUUGUUUACCUUAUGACAUCAUCAAUGCCUUUGAAAAUGUGGAUGAGGGAAUCAGCAGUCUCUUCAGUUCUUUAAAAGUGGUGCGUCUCUUACGACUGGGCCGUGUGGCUAGGAAACUGGACCAUUACCUAGAAUAUGGAGCAGCAGUCCUCGUGCUCCUAGUGUGUGUGUUUGGACUGGUGGCCCACUGGCUGGCCUGCAUAUGGUAUAGCAUCGGAGACUACGAGGUCAUUGACGAAGUCACUAACACCAUCCAAAUAGACAGUUGGCUCUACCAGCUGGCCUUGAGCAUUGGGACUCCAUAUCGCUACAAUACCAGUGCCGGGAUAUGGGAAGGAGGACCCAGCAAGGAUUCAUUGUACGUGUCCUCUCUCUACUUUACCAUGACAAGCCUUACAACCAUAGGAUUUGGAAACAUAGCUCCUACCACAGAUGUGGAGAAGAUGUUUUCGGUGGCUAUGAUGAUGGUUGGCUGUAAGUAUUUUAAUUUUUUCAUUAAAAAUUAUUGUUAUUGGCAAUUUUCCUGGCUACAGUCUCAGAUAGGAUUAAAACGAAGUACUUUGUUUACAGAAAGGUUCUUAAUCCAUCUUAUUUGCAAUUGUUUUUUUUAAUCUACCUUAGAAAAUAGAAAUGCAAAAUAAUAUAUUUUACUCUUCAGGACAUAUUAAUGUGUGAAAAACAUAUUAAUAUGUGUACCCAGCAGAGCUCUCUUGAAGGAAUCAGAACCAGCAUCCAGAGAGGUGGCAUUUGGCACAUUCCAUAGAUUUUGUUGGUAAUGUGUUAAAUUCC